CUUCCUUUUUCUCUGUGCAUCCUCAGUGACGCGGGGCACAGCUCUGCCCGGGGGCCUACCAGAGCCCACCUGGACCCCACACUGGGUCAGCCCUGGUGCGGAGGAGGCCGCUGUAGGCGCGGCCAGGUCACAGUCGGCACCAGAAGUUUGGCAGAUCUCAGUGAGGCGUUAGUUUGCAUUUCCUUGUGACGGGU